CACUGUAUCAAAAAAAAGAUCUGUCAACUGUACACCAACCAUGACAUAGUCCUUAGUUUUACAUGUUCCUAGUUUUCCUACUAAUCUCCUCUCUAUAAGCUCCAUUACAGCUGCUUUAAAUUGCAAAGUAACAUUUUUUCUCACUUAUUGUGUUAUCCAGGAGCUGACAAUGGAGGAGACGAUUGGAUAUAGUAGAAUGCAUGAUGGGCUUUAUUAUCUAACUGAAAGAGGACAGAAAGGUAAUUUAAAAACUGACUUGGUUGUAU
rnacentral:lncRNA from 1 species